rnacentral:rRNA from 1 species
GAGUUAUCUGAACCUUCGGGGGACGAUAACGGCGUCGAGCGGCGGACGGGUGAGUAAUGCCUAGGAAAUUGCCCUGAUGUGGGGGAUAACCAUUGGAAACGAUGGCUAAUACCGCAUAAUGCCUACGGGCCAAAGAGGGGGACCUUCGGGCCUCUCGCGUCAGGAUAUGCCUAGGUGGGAUUAGCUAGUUGGUGAGGUAAUGGCUCACCAAGGCGACGAUCCCUAGCUGGUCUGAGAGGAUGAUCAGCCACACUGGAACUGANACACGGUCCAGACUCCUACGGGAGGCAGCAGUGGGGAAUAUUGCACAAUGGGCGCAAGCCUGAUGCAGCCAUGCCGCGUGUGUGAAGAAGGCCUUCGGGUUGUAAAGCACUUUCAGUCGUGAGGAAGGUAGUGUAGUUAAUAGCUGCAUUAUUUGACGUUAGCGACAGAAGAAGCACCGGCUAACUCCGUGCCAGCAGCCGCGGUAAUACGGAGGGUGCGAGCGUUAAUCGGAAUUACUGGGCGUAAAGCGCAUGCAGGUGGUUUGUUAAGUCAGAUGUGAAAGCCCGGGGCUCAACCUCGGAAUAGCAUUUGAAACUGGCAGACUAGAGUACUGUAGAGGGGGGUAGAAUUUCAGGUGUAGCGGUGAAAUGCGUAGAGAUCUGAAGGAAUACCGGUGGCGAAGGCGGCCCCCUGGACAGAUACUGACACUCAGAUGCGAAAGCGUGGGGAGCAAACAGGAUUAGAUACCCUGGUAGUCCACGCCGUAAACGAUGUCUACUUGGAGGUUGUGGCCUUGAGCCGUGGCUUUCGGAGCUAACGCGUUAAGUAGACCGCCUGGGGAGUACGGUCGCAAGAUUAAAACUCAAAUGAAUUGACGGGGGCCCGCACAAGCGGUGGAGCAUGUGGUUUAAUUCGAUGCAACGCGAAGAACCUUACCUACUCUUGACAUCCAGAGAACUUUCCAGAGAUGGAUUGGUGCCUUCGGGAACUCUGAGACAGGUGCUGCAUGGCUGUCGUCAGCUCGUGUUGUGAAAUGUUGGGUUAAGUCCCGCAACGAGCGCAACCCUUAUCCUUGUUUGCCAGCGAGUAAUGUCGGGAACUCCAGGGAGACUGCCGGUGAUAAACCGGAGGAAGGUGGGGACGACGUCAAGUCAUCAUGGCCCUUACGAGUAGGGCUACACACGUGCUACAAUGGCGCAUACAGAGGGCAGCAAGCUAGCGAUAGUGAGCGAAUCCCAAAAAGUGCGUCGUAGUCCGGAUUGGAGUCUGCAACUCGACUCCAUGAAGUCGGAAUCGCUAGUAAUCGUGGAUCAGAAUGCCACGGUGAAUACGUU